rnacentral:rRNA from 1 species
UUUCCUACGGGACGCAGCAGUGGGGGAUAUUGCACAAUGGGGGAAACCCUGAUGCAGCGACGCCGCGUGGGUGAAGAAGCGCCUCGGCGCGUAAAGCCCUGUCAGCAGGGAAGAAAAUGACGGUACCUGAGUAAGAAGCCCCGGCUAACUACGUGCCAGCAGCCGCGGUAAUACGUAGGGGGCAAGCGUUAUCCGGAUUUACUGGGUGUAAAGGGAGCGUAGACGGCGAUGCAAGUCUGAAGUGAAAGCCCGGGGCUCAACCCCGGGACUGCUUUGGAAACUGUAUGGCUGGAGUGCUGGAGAGG